rnacentral:lncRNA from 1 species
ACGCAGCCCACCUCUCCCGACGAUCCGGGUCCUCCCGCCCUUCGCGGUGAUUCUGUCGCGAACCCUCUCACGGCAGCUAUGAGACUGCUGCGCUCCCCAGACGAGGAAACCUGGUCUCCCGGAGCCAGGUGGAGUCUCGCUCUGUCGCCCAGGCUGGAGUGCGGUGGCGCGAUCUCGGCUCACUGCAAGCUCCGCCUCCCGGGUUCACGCCAUUCUCCUGCCUCAGCCUCCCGAGUAGCUGGGACUACAGGUGCCCGCCACCGCGCCCGGCUAAUUUUUUGUAUUUUUAGUAGAGACGGGGUUUCACCAAGUUAGCCAGGAUGGUGUCGAUCUCCUGACCUCGUGAUCCGCCCGCCUCGGCCUCCUACAGUGCUGGGAUUACAAGCAGUCUUGCUCUGUCGCCCAGGCUGGAGUGCAGUGGCGCGAUCUCGGCUCACUACAACCUCUGCCUCCCAGGUUCAAGUGAUUCUCCUGCCUCAGCCUCCUGAGUAGCUGGGAUUACAGAAUUUUUCCUUAAAAGUGGGGCAACAGAAAUUAUUUCCUGUCCAGCGUCCUAUUUCAAGGAACCUGGUGCGUU